CGGGGGGGGCAAGCGUUGUUCGGAAUUACUGGGCGUAAAGGGCUCGUAGGCGGCCAACUAAGUCCGACGUGAAAUCCCCAGGCUUAACCUGGGAACUGCGUCGGAUACUGGAUGGCUUGAAUUCGGGAGAGGGAUGCAGAAUUCCAGGUGUAGCGGUGAAAUGCGUAGAUAUCUGGAGGAAUACCGGUGGCGAAGGCGGCAUCCUGGACCGACAUUGACGCUGAUGAGCGAAAGCUAGGGGAGCAAACGGGAUUAGAUACCCCGGUAGUCCUAGCCCUAAACGAUGAAUGCUUGGUGUGGCGGGUAUCGAUCCCUGCCGUGCCGAAGCUAACGCAUUAAGCAUUCCGCCUGGGGAGUACGGUCGCAAGGCUG
rnacentral:rRNA from 1 species